GUAACAUCAUGCUGCUAGCAAGCUUCUUGGAAAGUAUCCAUCUGCCUGCCCCUCUGGACAGGCGCACAGCUGCGUAGUCACAAACCUGUCUGCAAAGUGACUUCCAAGUGAGGACUCUUGGAAAUAGUAACUCCUCACUUCAACAUAUUAAUUCUGGGCCACAGCCUCAUGCAGCCAAGCAAUGGGAAGAGGCUCCAUCCCAGAAUAGCCUGUCCUCUCUUCAGGCCUGGAAGGGCUGGGAGAGCUGGAACAUGAUGAGAAAUCUUACUCCUCUGUCAUCUGGCUCGAGGACAAGGAGGAAAGGUCUCUGAAGAAAGUCAGCUCCCAGGGGGCUCACAACUGAGAAGCGUUUCAGCUGCCCAACUGUAAGAGCCUCACUCUCCCCCUCUCAGACCCAGAUGACUUCAUUUUCUUCUGUUGCUACUCCCACUCCCACAUACUCCUGAGAAAAGGACAUCGGUCAUGACAUCAAAGUACAAGAAUCCAUCAAACUGCACUUCUGUAUCUCAUCUUCCCAAGGCUGCACUUGCUCUAUGGUCCUGCUGGCAAGAAGCCACCACAGAAAACAGAUUUACCCUGCUGGGAGCAGCCAGGUCCAAAUCAACAUCAAGCUGAAAUUACUGCAUGGAGCACUAAAAACCUUUGGUUUUGGCUUCUUAUGCAUGCAACUUUUGACUGCAAGCUCUGUCUGAACACGAUCAGCAUUAUUGGUACAACCUGCUCAGGAAAUCUCUAAAAAAGAUUGAGCCACUGCUGUAUGAUGAGGGAAGAUGUCUUGAUUUAAGAACACAGGCAUUACUAGAAAGGGAAAAAAUAAAAGGGUCCCUUACUGUUCUGACAUAUCAAAAGCAGACUAAUGAACCACUAGUUCAUAGAAUGACCCUGCUCAUCAUUUCAGAGCCAGGCUGGCCUUUUGUGUUAAGGACACUGAAUAACAAGAGCAAGAACAAACAGAAAGAAUCCUUUCCCCAUGCCCAAAGUAAAUUUUGAAAUGAAAUCAUUUAAAACUACACCCGGCUGCCCUACUUUAAGGUCCACUUAAGAACAGAUGAAAAGUUUUGUUCUAUUGGCAAAACUGAAUCAAGGCUUUUGAUCCUCAAAGAUCUCUUAAUCGCUUUGCACAUCAGUUCUUUUCAUUAUUUCAAACACACUUGAAGACAGCUCCCUUUUUCUCUCUCUCCCUUUUUUUCCCCCCCAAAAAAAACUUCUCUGUGUUUGGGCCAUUUUCCAGCCAACUGUGCCACUACAGCAGAAAGCUGUUGGUUCUUUACUCACUCCAAGUUGCAACAUAUACGCAUUGUGAUUUGCCUUAGGGAAGUCUCAAAAAGCCCGGCCCUUGCAACUAACUGUGCUAGCUCACAGCAUCCACCUCUUCAUCCUUCUAAUGCUUCACAAGAGUUCCAAGGAAGAUUAUAAGCCUCUGGUUAAAAAAAGAAAGUAGUUGUUGGUGGCAUUGUUAUUGUGUUGCAUUUGGUUUUGUUUCUUUUUCUUUUUUAAAGCUUGACUCAGAAUUGCAAUCUUGGCCACAUAAACUCAACUUAAUUCAAGGGUUCUUCAAAAUUUCACGUCUCUGCAAUUCCAUUAAGUCAAAUACUACACCAAAUCAGCAGUGCUGCACAAAAAACUUCUGUCAGAAGUGGUAAUAACUCUGGCCACCUUAGCACUCUAGUAAAUGGGAGGAGUGCUUAACCAGACUAAGAUAGAGCUUACCAACAAAUAUGUACAGUACCCUUCAGUUUUUUACUUAAUUCUUGCUCCUGGCUUUUAGCUCGCUAACUGAAAGGGCAGAGACUUUCUGAAACAAAGAUCAGCUGCUUGUUUGUGGUCUGUGAAUGAACUUGCCACAAGUGGACUGCUUACAAUUGUAAUAAAGACUAUAGACAGGAGAGGCAGGAGGUGGAGUCAGUUAGCUGGCUGACAAACUCAUGGGGGGGAUGGAUAACAUCAAAAACAAACUCCACCUGGAAAGCUGCAUGUAGGCAGUACAGCAG
ensembl:lncRNA